GCCCGCGUAGCUCAGGGGAUAGAGCGGAGCUUUCCUAAAGCUUAGGUCGCUGGUUCGAAUCCAGCCGUGGGUA
rnacentral:tRNA from 1 species